rnacentral:rRNA from 1 species
GACGAACGCUGGCGGCGUGCCUAAUACAUGCAAGUAGGACGCAGUUGCGAACGGGUGAGUAACGCGUAGGUAACUACCUAUUAGAGGGGGAUAACUAUUGGACACGAUAGCUAAUACCGCAUACUAGUAGAUGGACCUGCUUUGUAUUAGCUAGGAGGUAGGGUAAUGGCCUACCUAGGCAACGAUACAUAGCCGACCUGAGGGGGGGAUCGGCCACACAGGGACUGGGACAAGGGCCAGACGCCGACGGGAGGCAGCCGUAGGGAAUCUUCGGCAAUGGGGGGAACCCUGAACGAGCAAAGCCGCGUGAGGGAAGAAGGUUUUCGGAUCGUAAAGAUCUGUUGUUAAGGAAGCGGUACUUAACCAGAAAGGGACGGCUAACUACGUGCCAGCAGCCGCGGUAAUUC